CUACUUCCGGCAAUGAGGUAGUAAGCAUGUAUAUAAUAAACGAUUUUGUGAGUUGUAUAGUAUGCGACGUCCACUGCUAUCCACGGUGCCACUAAGAUCGUAGUCAAAAUGGUAUUACUGUCCCUUAUCAUCGUCUGCUGUGUUCUAUUCAACGCCUUGGCUUUUGAAGGCCCUCAUAACUACCCCCGUCGAAGGAAUAAUGAAAGAAGUAUCACCGAAGGUGAAUUUAUUGAUGCUUCGGCUGCUGCUAAAGAUACCGACAAUGGAGACAUUCAAGCCAGGGAUAGAAGAUCAACCAUCGAAUAUCACGAAGAAGGAGGAAGAGGAAAAUAGAUAUACACGUGGACACGCAUUGCGGAUCUGACGAAUUGCAGCAAAAAUGAACAAUUUGCAUGUUUAAUGUUUGCUACAGUUAGAUUAAAUUUUAAUCUU